CGCAGCAAUUGCCAUCGCAGGAGAGAGCUCUGAUGCCAGCAGUUGUUCAAACACUCUGAAACCAAAAAGAAACCCGCGGAUACGGAUGCGAAUCCGAACUCUGUAAGGACCCUGCCACCAGCGCAACAGCAAGACAAUCUGAGAAUGUUGCCAUCAUCACCAGCAGCAUCGGCAACAG
rnacentral:sRNA from 1 species